AUUGAACGCUGGCGGCAGGCCUAACACAUGCAAGUCGAACGAGUGGCGGACGGGUGAGUAAUGUUUGGGAAUCUGGCCUAUGGAGGGGGAUAACUACGGGAAACUGUAGCUAAUACCGCAUACCAUCGGAUGAGCCCAGGUGGGAUUAGGUAGUUGGUGAGGUAACGUCUCACCAAGGCGACGAUCUCUAGCUGGUCUGAGAGGAUGACCAGCCACACUGGAACUGAGACACGGUCCAGACUCCUACGGGAGGCAGCAGUGGGGAAUAUUGCACAAUGGGCGCAAGCCUGAUGCAGCCAUGCCGCGUGAAUGAAGAAGGCCUUCGGGUUGUAAAGUUCUUUCAGUAGCGAGGCGUUAACUACAGAAGAAGCACCGGCUAACUCCGUGCCAGCAGCCGCGGUAAUUC
rnacentral:rRNA from 1 species